CCUCGGCAGAUCAGCACGCUCCCGGUAAAACGGGACGGCCCGCCAGAGGACCCCUAAACUCUGUUUCUAUAUGUAACUUCUGAGUAAAACCAUAAAUAAAUCAAAACUUUCAACAACGGAUCUCUUGGUUCUGGCAUCGAUGAAGAACGCAGCAAAAUGCGAUAAGUAAUGUGAAUUGCAGAAUUCAGUGAAUCAUCGAAUCUUUGAACGCACAUUGCGCCCGCCAGUAUUCUGGCGGGCAUGCCCUGUUCGAGCGUCAUUUCAACCCUCAAGCCCAGCUUGGUGUUGGGACUCGCGAGUCAAAUCGCGUUCCCCAAAUUGAUUGGCGGUCACGUCGAGCUUCCAUAGCGUAGUAGUAAAACCCUCGUUACUGGUAAUCGUCGCGGCCACGCCGUUAAACCCCAACUUCUGAAUGUUGACCUCGGAUCAGGUAGGAAUACCCGCUGAACUUAAGCAUAUCAAUAAGCGGA
rnacentral:rRNA from 1 species